GAUGAUCGCUGGCGGCGUGCCUAAUAUAUGCAAGUUGAGCGAACAGACGAGGAGCUUGCUCCUCUGACGUUAGCGGCGGACGGGUGAGUAACACGUGGAUAACCUACCUAUAAGACUGGGAUAACUUCGGGAAACCGGAGCUAAUACCGGAUAAUAUAUUGAACCGCAUGGUUCAAUAGUGAAAGACGGUUUUGCUGUCACUUAUAGAUGGAUCCGCGCCGCAUUAGCUAGUUGGUAAGGUAACGGCUUACCAAGGCAACGAUGCGUAGCCGACCUGAGAGGGUGAACGGCCACACUGGAACUGAGACACGGUCCAGACGCCUACGGGAGACAGCAGUAGGCAAUCUUCAGCAAUGGGAGAAAGCCUGACGGAGCAACAACGCGUGAGUGAUGAAGGUUUACGGAUCGUAAAACUCUGUUAUUAGGGAAGACCAAAUGUGUAAGUAACUAUGCACGUCUUGACGGUACCUAAUCAGAAAGCCACGGCUACCUACGUG
rnacentral:rRNA from 1 species